CAGGCUUAACACAUGCAAGUCGAGGGGCAUCAGGAAGAAAGCUUGCUUUCUUUGCUGGCGACCGGCGCACGGGUGAGUAACACGUAUCCAACCUGCCCUUUACUCGGGGAUAGCCUUUCGAAAGAAAGAUUAAUACCCGAUAGCAUAAUGAUUCCGCAUGGUUUCAUUAUUAAAGGAUUCCGGUAAAGGAUGGGGAUGCGUUCCAUUAGGUUGUUGGUGAGGUAACGGCUCACCAAGCCUUCGAUGGAUAGGGGUUCUGAGAGGAAGGUCCCCCACAUUGGAACUGAGACACGGUCCAAACUCCUACGGGAGGCAGCAGUGAGGAAUAUUGGUCAAUGGGCGGUAGCCUGAACCAGCCAAGUAGCGUGAAGGAUGAAGGCUCUAUGGGUCGUAAACUUCUUUUAUAUAAGAAUAAAGUGCAGUAUGUAUACUGUUUUGUAUGUAUUAUAUGAAUAAGGAUCGGCUAACUCCGUGCCAGCAGCCGCGGUAAUACGGAGGAUCCGAGCGUUAUCCGGAUUUAUUGGGUUUAAAGGGAGCGUAGGUGGACUGGUAAGUCAGUUGUGAAAGUUUGCGGCUCAACCGUAAAAUUGCAGUUGAUACUGUCAGUCUUGAGUACAGUAGAGGUGGGCGGAAUUCGUGGUGUAGCGGUGAAAUGCUUAGAUAUCACGAAGAACUCCGAUUGCGAAGGCAGCUCACUGGACUGCAACUGACACUGAUGCUCGAAAGUGUGGGUAUCAAACAGGAUUAGAUACCCUGGUAGUCCACACAGUAAACGAUGAAUACUCGAUGUUUGCGAUAUACAGUAAGCGGCCAAGCGAAAGCAUUAAGUAUUCCACCUGGGGAGUACGCCGGCAACGGUGAAACUCAAAGGAAUUGACGGGGGCCCGCACAAGCGGAGGAACAUGUGGUUUAAUUCGAUGAUACGCGAGGAACCUUACCCGGGCUUAAAUUGCAGUGGAAUGAUGUGGAAACAUGUCAGUGAGCAAUCACCGCUGUGAAGGUGCUGCAUGGUUGUCGUCAGCUCGUGCCGUGAGGUGUCGGCUUAAGUGCCAUAACGAGCGCAACCCUUAUCUUCAGUUACUAACAGGUCAUGCUGAGGACUCUGGAGAGACUGCCGUCGUAAGAUGUGAGGAAGGUGGGGAUGACGUCAAAUCAGCACGGCCCUUACGUCCGGGGCUACACACGUGUUACAAUGGGGGGUACAGAAGGCAGCUAGCGGGUGACCGUAUGCUAAUCCCAAAAUCCUCUCUCAGUUCGGAUCGAAGUCUGCAACCCGACUUCGUGAAGCUGGAUUCGCUAGUAAUCGCGCAUCAGCCACGGCGCGGUGAAUACGUUCCCGGGCCUUGUACACACCGCCCGUCAAGCCAUGGGAGCCGGGGGUACCUGAAGUACGUAAAAGCAAGGAUCGUCCUAGGGUAAAACUGGUGAC
rnacentral:rRNA from 1 species